CCUGAGUACGACGGAGCACGUGAAAUUCCGUCGGAAUCUGGGAGGACCAUCUCCUAAGGCUAAAUACUCUCUAGUGACCGAUAGUGAACCAGUACCGUGAGGGAAAGGUGAAAAGCACCCCGGAAGGGGAGUGAAAUAGAACCUGAAACCGUGUGCUUACAAGUAGUCAGAGCCCGUUAAUGGGUGAUGGCGUGCCUUUUGUAGAAUGAACCGGCGAGUUACGAUUUGAUGCAAGGUUAAGCAGUAAAUGUGGAGCCGUAGCGAAAGCGAGUCUGAAUAGGGCGUUUAGUAUUUGGUCGUAGACCCGAAACC
rnacentral:rRNA from 1 species